rnacentral:rRNA from 1 species
AGGGNUUGCUCUAGUAACGGCGAGUGAAGCAGCANUAGCUCAAAUUUGAAAUCUGGCGUCUUCGACGUCCGAGUUGUAAUUUGUAGAGGAUGCUUCUGAGUGGCCACCGACCUAAGUUCCUUGGAACAGGACGUCAUAGAGGGUGAGAAUCCCGUAUGCGGUCGGAAAGGCGCUCUAUACGUAGCUCCUUCGACGAGUCGAGUUGUUUGGGAAUGCAGCUCUAAAUGGGAGGUAAAUUUCUUCUAAAGCUAAAUAUUGGCCAGAGACCGAUAGCGCACAAGUAGAGUGAUCGAAAGAUGAAAAGCACUUUGGAAAGAGAGUUAAAAAGCACGUGAAAUUGUUAAAAGGGAAGGGAUUGCAACCAGACUUGCUCGCGGUGUUCCGCCGGUCUUCUGACCGGUCUACUCGCCGCGUUGCAGGCCAGCAUCGUCUGGUGCCGCUGGAUAAGACUUGAGGAAUGUAGCUCCCUCGGGAGUGUUAUAGCCUCUUGUGAUGCAGCGAGCGCCGGGCGAGGUCCGCGCUUCGGCUAGGAUGCUGGCGUAAUGGUCGUAAUCCGCCCGUCUUGAAACACGGACCAAGGAGUCUAACAUCUAUGCGAGUGUUCGGGUGUCAAACCCCUACGCGUAAUGAAAGUGAACGGAGGUGAGAACCGCAAGGUGCAUCAUCGACCGAUCCUGAUGUCUUCGGAUGGAUUUGAGUAAGAGCAUAGCUGUUGGGACCCGAAAGAUGGUGAACUAUGCCUGAAUAGGGUGAAGCCAGAGGAAACUCUGGUGGAGGCUCGCAGCGGUUCUGACGUGCAAAUCGAUCGUCAAAUUUGGGUAUAGGGGCGAAAGACUAAUCGAACCAUCUAGUAG